GUGCAGGACCCAGAUCUCAUGGAGGAGCUGGUGGUACAGCCCAGGAUGGGGCUGAUGUCAGAUCCCAGGUGGAGAAACCAGGGAGAAGGGCUGAUGGAGACCUCAGCAAGGGGCAGGGGUGGAGGCUCAAUAAGAGAAGGGGGUUCUCUUCUCUUGGAGACAGGUCUUUUGGUCACAGCAGCUGAGACCAAAAAAGCUGACUAAAACACCAGCCAAGAUCCACACCAAGGGGCAGGGGGACAGGCGGACCCCUCUGUUCCCCUGCAGAACAGCGACCGGCAUGGAGACAUGGGCGAAGAUCUACUGUGGGAAGCCCAGGCUGCGAAGGGGGGGUCCUCGGCUCCAUUAUACCAUCAGGUCCCAGGUUCCUGUCACCCUUCCUCUCUGCCACCUUUUGAAUGCAGACCUCUGUCCUCAAUCUGUCACCUCGUGGUGGCUGCUACAUGUCCCAGCAGGAAGAAGGGAAGAGGGCAAAAAGCCCGAUCAGCUCAAUCUAGUCCCUCAAAUAAAAAAUAAAGCACAUUGUGGGGAGCCCCA